GAUGAACGCUGACAGAAUGCUUAACACAUGCAAGUCAACUGUGGCGGACGGGAGAGUAACGCGUAAAGAACUUGCCUCACGGAUAGGGACAACAUUUGGAAACGAAUGCUAAUACCUGAUACUGUGAGAGAGCUUUGCGUCCCAUUAGCUAGUUGGAGAGGUAACGGCUCACAAAGGCGAUGAUGGGUAGCCGGCCUGAGAGGGUGAUCGGCCACAAGGGGAAUGAGACACGUCCCAUACACCUACGGGCGGCAGCAGUGGGGAUUAGUGGACAAUGGACCAAAGUCUGAUCCAGCAAUUCUGUGUGCACGAUGAAGUUUUCGGAAUGUAAAGUUCUUUCAGUUGGGAAGCAGUACCAACAGAAGAAGUGAAGGCUAAAUACGUGCCAGCAGCCGCGGUAAUUC
rnacentral:rRNA from 1 species